AUUGAACGCUGGCGGCAUGCCUUACACAUGCAAGUCGAACGGUAACAGGGAGCUUGCUCCGCUGACGAGUGGCGAACGGGUGAGUAAUGUAUCGGAACGUACCUUUUAGUGGGGGAUAACGUAGCGAAAGUUACGCUAAUACCGCAUAUUCUCUGAGGAGGAAAGCAGGGGACCUUCGGGCCUUGCGCUAAUAGAGCGGCUGAUAUCAGAUUAGCUAGUUGGUGAGGUAAAGGCUCACCAAGGCGACGAUCUGUAGCGGGUCUGAGAGGAUGAUCCGCCACACUGGAGCUGAGACACGGUCCAGACUCCUACGGGAGGCAGCAGUGGGGAAUUUUGGACAAUGGAGGCAACCCUGAUCCAGCCAUGCCGCGUGAGUGAAGAAGGCCUUCGGGUUGUAAAGCUCUUUCGGCCGGGAAAAAAUCGCAUGGGUUAAUACCCUGUGUGGAUGAUGGUACCGGAAUAAGAAGCACCGGCUAACUACGUGCCAGCCGCCGCAGUAACAC
rnacentral:rRNA from 1 species